AGUGAACGCUGGCGGUAGGCCUAACACAUGCAAGUCGAACGGCAGCACAGUAAGAGCUUGCUCUUACGGGUGGCGAGUGGCGGACGGGUGAGGAAUACAUCGGAAUCUACUUUUUCGUGGGGGAUAACGUAGGGAAACUUACGCUAAUACCGCAUACGACCUACGGGAGAAAGCAGGAGAUCUUCGGACCCUGCGCGAUUGAAUGAGCCGAUGUCGGAUUAGCUAGUUGGCGGGGUAAGGGCCCACCAAGGCGACGAUCCGUAGCUGGUCUGAGAGGAUGAUCAGCCACACUGGAACUGAGACACGGUCCAGACUCCUACGGGAGGCAGCAGUGGGGAAUAUUGGACAAUGGGCGCAAGCCUGAUCCAGCCAUACCGCGUGGGUGAAGAAGGCCUUCGGGUCGUAAAGCCCUUUUGUUGGGAAAGAAAAGCAGCAGGUUAAUACGCCGCUGUUCUGACGGUACCCAAAGAAUAAGCACCGGCUAACUUCGUG
rnacentral:rRNA from 1 species